UGAACAGAGAAGCAGGAGGUGGUCAGUACGUCUUCCUCACAGCACUGAGGAGAUGUAAAAACAUUAAUUUGCCUCACACAUGAAGGACAAUGACAUAAUAAAUAUGGGGUGGAACAGAUUUUAGAUGGCAAAAUUCAAGCACUUUCAAGGCAGUCCCACAUGGACCAUCCUGCUGCCUUCAAUACUCACUAGGCCACAGAAUGGGUAUAAAUCCGGGGCUGAAAAUAGCUCUUACCAAAUUAACUAUUUACUCCUGUAUGAUAAAACUAGCGCUGAGGACAUCGUCAGUAGAAACAAAUGGACUUGCGUCUGACAGAUACAGACAAGAAAUCAAAAUGUUGAUUUUGGACUUUUCACUGGAUUUGUUAACAAUAAACAAAAACAGUUUAUUUAUAGGUUGAGUGCAACAACUUAAAGGCUCUGCUGCAGAACCAUUACUGCCAUUCAUCCCGUCCACACUCACCUUCAGGAAGGGCGACUCUUCCAGCAUGCCAAGGAAUUCUGGGAAAUAAUCCCCGACCUCCUCAUCAACGGCACCAACCAGGCUGAUCUG